rnacentral:rRNA from 1 species
GACGAACGCUGGCGGCGUGCUUAACACAUGCAAGUCGAACGGAAAGAGAUGAAAGAGCUUGCUCUUUUAUUAAUUUCAGUGGCAAACGGGUGAGUAACACGUAAACAACCUGCCUUAAGGAUGGGGAUAACAGACGGAAACGACUGCUAAUACCGAAUACGUUCUAAGCAUCGCAUGGUGCAUAGAAGAAAGGGUGGCCUCUACAAGAAAGCUAUCGCCUUAAGAGGGGUUUGCGACUGAUUAGGUAGUUGGUGAGGUAACGGCUCACCAAGCCGACGAUCAGUAGCCGGUUGAGAGGAUGAACGGCCACACUGGAACUGAGACACGGUCCAGACUCCUCGGGAGGCAGCAAGGUCUUCGGAUUGUAAGUUCUGUGAUUCGCGGACGAAAGGGUUUGUGGUGAAUAAUCAUAGACAUUGCCAGUACCGAAAAAGCAAGCCACGGCUAACUACGUGCCAGCAGCCGCGGUAAUACGUAGGUGGCAAGCGUUGUCCGGAAUUAUUGGGCGUAAAGCGCGGCAGGCGGUUUCUUAAGUCCAUCUUAAAAGCGUGGGGCUCAACCCCAUGAGGGGUGGAAACUGGGAAGCUGGAGUAUCGGAGAGGAAAGUGGAAUUCCUAGUGUAGCGGUGAAAUGCGUAGAGAUUAGGAAGAACACCGGUGGCGAAGGCGACUUUAUAGACGAAAACUGACGCUGAGGCGCGAAAGCGUGGGGAGCAAACAGGAUUAGAUACCCUGGUAGUCCACGCCGUAAACGAUGGAUACUAGGUGUAGGAGGUAUCGACCCCUCCUGUGCCGGAGUUAACGCCAUAAGUAUCCCGCCUGGGAAGUA